rnacentral:rRNA from 1 species
AUACAUGCAGUCGACGGUGUCUUCGGACAUAGUGGCGCACGGGUGCGUAACACGUAUGCAACCUACCUUACAUUGGGGGAUAGCCUUUCGAAAGGGAGAUUAAUACCGCAUAAGACAGUAAAUGGGCAUCCAUUAGCUGUUAAAGAUUUAUCGAUGUAAGUUGGGCAUGCGACCAAUUAGUUAGUUGGCGAGGUAAUGGCUCACCAAGACUAUGAUUGGUAGGGGAACUGAGAGGUCAAUCCCCCACACUGGCACUGAGAUACGGGCCAGACUCCUACGGGAGGCAGCAGUAGGGAAUAUUGGGCAAUGGACGCAAGUCUGACCCAGCCAUGCCGCGUGCAGGAUGAAGGCGUUAUGCGUCGUAAACUGCUUUUAUACAGGAAGAAACGACUCUUGCGAGAGGCAUUGACGGUACUGUAUGAAUAAGCACCGGCUAACUCCGUGCCAGCAGCCGCGGUAAUACGGAGGGUGCAAGCGUUGUCCGGAUUUAUUGGGUUUAAAGGGUGCGCAGGUGGUUUAUUAAGUCAGUGGUGAAAAGACGGUCGCUCAACGAUUGCAGUGCCAUUGAAACUAGUAGACUUGAGUAAAGUAGAGGUGGGCGGAAUUGAUAGUGUAGCGGUGAAAUGCAUAGAUAUUAUCAAGAACUCCAAUUGCGAAGGCAGCUCACUUGGCUUUUACUGACACUCAUGCACGAAAGUGUGGGUAUCAAACAGGAUUAGAUACCCUGGUAGUCCACACUGUAAACGAUGAUAACUAGGUGUCGGCCGAAUCUGGUCGGUGCCACAGCGAAAGCGUUAAGUUAUCCACCUGGGGAGUACGCCGGCACGGUGAAACUCAAAGGAAUUGACGGGGUCCGCACAAGCGGUGGAGCAUGUGGUUUAAUUCGAUGAUACGCGAGGAACCUUACCUAGGCUAGAAUGUGAANAAUGAUACAGAAAUG